rnacentral:rRNA from 1 species
ACGGGAGGCAGCAGCUAAGAAUAUUCCGCAAUGGACGAAAGUCUGACGGAGCGACGCCGCGUGGAUGAUGAAGGUCGGAAGAUUGUAAAAUCCUUUUAUGACUGAGAAAUAAGUAAGGUGAGAGAAACGCCUUAUGGUGACUGUAGGUCAUGAAUAAGCAACGGCUAAUUACGUGCCAGCAGCCGCGAUAACACGUAAGUUGCGAGCGUUGUUCGGAAUUAUUGGGCGUAAAGGGCAUGUAGGCGGUUUUGCAAGCUUGGUGUGAAAUCUCGGAGCCCAACUCCGAAAUUGCGUUGAGAACUGCAUAACUAGAGUCACUGAGGGGCAAUCAGAAUUCCAGGUGUAGGGGUGAAAUCUGUAGAUAUCUGGAAGAAUACCAAUGGCGAAGGCAGGUUACCAGCAGAUGACUGACGCUGAGGUGCGAAGGUGCGGGGAGCAAACAGGAUUAGAUACCCUGGUA